rnacentral:rRNA from 1 species
CCUACGGGAGGCAGCAGUGGGGAAUAUUGGGCAAUGGAGGAAACUCUGACCCAGCAACGCCGCGUGAAUGAUGAAGGUCUUCGGAUUGUAAAGUUCUUUUCUAAGGGAAGAAGAAAGUGACGGUACCUUAGGAAUAAGCCUCGGCUAACUACGUGCCAGCAGACGCGGUAAUACGUAGGAGGCGAGCGUUAUCCGGAAUGACUGGGCGUAAAGGGGGCGGAGGUGGUUUGGCAAGUUAGUAGCGUAACUCCAAGGCUCAACCUUGGAACUACUACUAAAACUGUUGGACUUGAGUGCAGGAGGGGCAGCCGGAAUUCCUAGUGUAGCGGUGGAAUGCGUAGAUAUUAGGAGGAACACCAGUGGCGAAGGCGGGUUGCUAGACUGUAACUGACACUGAGGCACGAAAGCGUGGGGAGCAAACAGGAUUAGAUACCCUUGUAGUC